ACGGGAGGCAGCAGUGGGGAAUAUUGGGCAAUGGGCGAAAGCCUGACCCAGCGACGCCGCGUGAAGGAAGAAGGUCUUCGGAUUGUAAACUUCUGUCAGCAGGGACGAAACAAAUGACGGUACCUGCCGAGAAAGCCACGGCUAACUACGUGCCAGCAGCCGCGGUAAUACGUAGGUGGCGAGCGUUAUCCGGAUUUACUGGGUGUAAAGGGUGUGUAGGCGGGUUGGCAAGUCAGAUGUGAAAAUUAUGGGCUCAACUCAUAACUUGCAUUUGAAACUGUUGGCCUUGAGAGUGGGAGAGGUAAAUAGAAUUCCCGGUGUAGCGGUGAAAUGCGUAGAGAUUGGGAGGAACACCAGUGGCGAAGGCGACUUACUGGGCCGUAACUGACGCUGAGGCGCGAAAGCGUGGGUAGCAAACAGGAUUAGAUACCCUGGUA
rnacentral:rRNA from 1 species